rnacentral:rRNA from 1 species
UACGGAGGGAGCUAGCGUUGUUCGGAAUUACUGGGCGUAAAGCGCACGUAGGCGGCUUUGUAAGUUAGAGGUGAAAGCCCGGGGCUCAACCCCGGAAUUGCCUUUAAGACUGCAUCGCUUGAAUCCGGGAGAGGUGAGUGGAAUUCCGAGUGUAGAGGUGAAAUUCGUAGAUAUUAGGAAGAACACCAGUGGCGAAGGCGGCUCACUGGCCCGGUACUGACGCUGAGGCGCGAAAGCGUGGGGAGCAAACAGG